rnacentral:misc_RNA from 1 species
UCUCCGUUGGUGAACCAGCGGAGGGAUCAUUACAGAGUUAUCUAACUCCUAAACCCAUGUGAACUUACCAUUGUUGCCUCGGCGGGGAAGCCUACCCGGUACUUACCCUGUACUUACCCGGUAGCUACCCUGUAGUUUCUGGUGAUAACCGCCGAUGGACUUCUAAACUCUUGUUUUUAAUGAGACACUCUGAGUUAUUAUUAAAAUAAGUAAAAACUUUCAACAACGGAUCUCUUGGUUCUGGCAUCGAUGAAGAACGCAGC